rnacentral:lncRNA from 1 species
GGCCUUUUUUGGGAAUGCCUUUUCUUGGUCGUCGUAGAGAGGAACAGUUUUUUGUUCUUUGUUCGACAUAUGCGAACAAGUGGUAUGGUUUCAAGUAUUCUCAAACAUUCAACAGAUUCGUUCUUGUGUGUUCUGCGCAUCUUAUCCGAUUAAUCAUUGGUAGUACCACCAAAUAGGUUAAUCUGAAAGUGAACACACGAUUUGUGUAGAAAUCCAGGUUUUUUCUUUAUCUCACUUUUCUUGCAAUUGUUUCGAAAUUAGUUAGUAAUCACUCAAAAAUACAACAAAGAUUAACCUAUUUUCAUUGUUUGUUAUACUACUAAAUCCAAUUUCGAGACAACGUGUUCGAUUUUGUUGUUGGGUUUCGGUUUGCAAUUCGUGUUUUGCCACCGUGGUGUUACUUUUAUUGGGUUCUUGAAUUAUAUUAUCUUCAUCGGAUUUGUGAUUAUUAAAAUGCUUCAUGUGUGUGUGCUUGAAUUGAUAUUUGAGGUUUUCAUCAUCAAAAACUAGAAACACAUGACUCAUAGAGUUUGUUGAAGGCACAUAUAAAUCAUCAUGUAGAUUUUUCUUAAAAGUUGAUUGUGGGACCAUGGAAUGGGUAUCCAAACAUCUGACCUUUAGGGUUAUUUUAUGUUUAUUAAUGUUAAUUUUGGAUAACUUAACAUGUGUUGGAUAAUUUAGGCUGCUAAUUGAUAAAUGAUUCAUUAGUUACCAAUUCAGUACGAAUUGUUUGUCUUGAAUUGCAAUUAACAAUUAAAUUUGGCUUCUUAUGGAUUUAUAAGUAAAACAAGAAACGUACGCAUCGCUGAAUCAUACGGGUAGUCGGUUAAUUUUGGUUUGAAAAGAAUAAACUAUCUCGGUGUUCAUGGUUGAAUCAGACGGGUAGUCGGUUGCGUGCUUUGUUGGGUUAAGUGAUGACCAGGUCUUCGAUUUUGUUUGAAAUCUCCAGCCUCUCGAUUGGGGCUGUUGUCAGUUAAUUUUGGUUCGAAAAUAACCGGGUAGGAAAAAAGAAGAAGAGACUGUCGUCACGGUUUUUCUUUUGCUCGUAGGACGCAUUGAUUGCCACCCGGCGGUCGACGGCGGACGUCGUAACCGGCUUUAACACCCCGACAAUUAAUGAGACAACAAGCAUCGGCUUUCUCGCAUGAUAGAGCAUAUCCACAUAGGCUUGUGUAUAUGUUUUUCUUUGUUUGCUAGAUGAAUGAUUGCAUGGGAUGAAUGUGAGUUUAGUGACUUAGUCAUCAAUCUCAAAAAGACUAAACACAAAUCUAAGUGAUGAUUGUUCAAUUAAUUUUCAUUAGUAUACUUGUUGCAUAUAUGUGUAUACAUAUAGAUACAUGUACGGGUGUUUUUUUUUUUUGCUUGUUGAAUUGAAUGGGACAUGGUAUGUAAAUAAAUAAAAGGUUUUCUAAACACUAUACACACAAGUGUAUGGAUCAUAUUUUAAACAAAAUACAAGGGUUUUGUUGUCUGUUUGUCAACUGAAGUGAAACCAACACUUGUGUCGUGAAUUCGUCGACCAUAACAAAACCCGUGGAGUGUUUUAAUUUGCACAAGGAAUAUCAAAGAAGGCCUACAUGCGGUCUUUCAAUCAUCGAGCGUUGAAGGGGCUAUUUCUUGAUACGAACCGAAGGAACAAUGGUUUUCUUGCUUGUGAUCAUCUCAAUUUACAGAUUUCUUGCAUGUGCAGAUUCUAAAGGCAAGGAGAACAUAGUCGAUGACAAGCUUCGGAAUGAAGACACGACGUGAAGGCACUCAAAGGAUGAAGAUGAUCGAGUUUCCGCUGACCAUCAUCAACACCACAAGGAUCUCACUUCAUAAAGAUCAAGUUUUUCACGAGCAUAACUCAAGGGGGAGCUUAUGUUAAGGGGGAGUUUGUCAACACACUCUCUGCUUUCAAUACGUGAAGACUUUGAAGAUCCUCCGACUUUGAAGACUUGAAAGGACAUCAGAGUUUUGAGAACUCGAAGACCAAAGACCAUCGAAGUUCGAGACGAGUCUACAACUAUAGAAGAUAAAGACAAAGCUACAGCCAAGGGGGAGUUUGUUGGUGCACUUGUGUCUGUACUUUGUCUGUAUCCGGUCACGAUGUCUGUAUUCGGUCACGAUGUAAACGAUGUCCUUGUUAUUGUUGUAAGUUGACCAAGUCAACCAUCCUCCAGUUUGACUUGGACAACAGUUUGUAAAAUGUUGUAAGAUGUUCUGUGUCGAAGGAUAGCUAAUCGAAGGAUAUUGUAGAUCCUUCGAUGACAUCGAAAGAUAGGCUACGAAGGAUACUGUUAGACUUCGAAGGAUAUGCAAUCCUUCGAAGUAUUUGUGGAUCCUUCGACAGCUUUGUCAUCGAUAGAUGAUCCUUCGAUCAUCUAUCGGAUCCUUCGGACCAGACAUCAGAUGCUGGGUAUAUAUAUACCCAUGCAGUGUGUUCAACUAAAAAAAGUAGAUGCACACAGAAAGAGAGAGAGUAUUCUUGAGAGCAUUCUGUCCGAAACACACACACACACUUUGAGAGUUUGCAAGUUAGAUUUGUAAACAUUGUGCUUGUAACCGAAACCUUCAUACGUAUUAAUACAUUGGUGUUAAUCGGUGAACCUUGUGUGUUGUGUUUAUACUUGCUUCAUCCCGGUUUGCUUGCUAGCUUGGAUUCCGCACUCGCUAGUGAGUUUGUAUAACAAGGUUUAGGUUCGUCAUCCUCCGGAAAGGGACCUACAAGAAGGGUAUUCUGAAGCAAGUUGUAUAACUAAGUGGAUGGGUAUUCCUACUUGGUGGAGGUGUUAUCUCCUAGGCUUCAAAGAAGCAGACUUGCAUCAUAAAUUCAACAAUGGAAUCUGAAUUUGAAGCUUUAGUAGCAGCUACCGGUAAAGAAGCUGAGUGGCUAAGAAAUUUGAUCUUUGAGGUUCCUUUAUGUUCAAAACCGAUGUCACUAAUUUAUCUAUCAAAUGAGAUAGUGUUGGCUAAGGAUUUUUGUCAGAUGUAUAAUGGAAAGUCUAGACGGUUACGUGUUAUACAUAGCAUGAUUCAUGAGCUCACCAUGCAUAGAAUGACAUCUGUUGAAUAUGUAAGAUCUAAGUAUAAUUUGACUGAGUAGCUAACUAAAGAGUUAGGAGAGAUCUCGUGAAUAAAUCAGUCAUAGGGAUGGGUUUAAAGACCAUACUUUAAUAUCCUAUGUCAAGAUGCCCAAUUCCCAUCUAAUACAACAUUAGAUGCAGAAUUCAAUGUGGAAAGCUUGUCAUAGAGAUAUUGGAACACAUGAUCAAAAUCAUCCCAAGGUUGUGUUCAGACUGCAAGAUAAAGGAAGUUGAAGUAUAACUUCUUAAUAGUUUUUUUAAAAAUUGCAUUUGCAGGGGCGAGAAUAAAAGAACUACCUAUAAGAGUAUGAAGUUUAGCCACUUCAAAAAGCUUGGACUUGGCUUUGAUAUACUCUUUGAAGGAUUGGACACAGGCUAGUAAAAUAUUGUGUCAAGUAAGAACAUAUGAAUUUGUAAACUUAUGUGUAUAUUAUCUUCAGGUAUUCAUUAUGAACAGAAACGGUUCAAUCCAUAGCGACACCCUAAUAUUCAAAUAUUUGGAAUGUGUAAUAUACUAAUGUGAAAUUCAAUCGUCGCGAUAUUUCAUUUAUGCAUAAGUUUGUGUUUGCUUGAGAAGUAUUUUAAGUUAAUCAUGGAUAUCACUAAAAUGGGGGAGGAAUGUUGGUAAUUUUAGUGUUAUCAACGGAUUUUGGUGGUAUUGAAUUAACUUGUCGACUAAGUUAAUCUUAUUUUACAAUAAACGAGUUAGGAGAUGUGGGAGUGCAUGCUCGUUUAUAUCUAAUAAGAUUAGGUAUUUCAUAGAUUUGUAUUUAUAAUCUAUAUUUAAUUUUGGGCCUGUUUAUUAAUUGGUUUUGGGACACUUAAUAAAUUGUAUUCUCUUAAUUAAUUAAGAUUAAUUGGGCCCAAGGUUUGUUAUGAUAAUGUCGAUUGGGCUUCGUGGCCUAAAUGGAUCACAUGAUUAAUGUGGAUCUAUAUACUAAUUAAAAGGAAAAUCGAUGGGAGACCUUUUUUGGGAAUGCCUUUUCUUGGUCGUCGCAGGGAGGAACAGUUUUUUGUUCUUUGUUCGACAUAUGCGAACAAGUGGUACGGUUUCAAGUAUUCUCAAACAUUCAACAGAUUCGUUCUUGUGUGUUCUACGCAUCUUAUCCGAUUAAUCAUUGGUAGUACCACCAAAUAGGUUAAUCUGAAAGUGAACACACGAUUUGUGUAGAAAUCCAGGUUUUUUCUUCAUCUCAGUUUUCUUGCAAUUGUUUCGAAAUUGGUUAGUAAUCACUCAAAAAUACAACAGGCAACACACCUGGUAAACCCCUACAUACAAAGUCCAAGAAAAGCCAAACUGUUACCAAGGAUGACAUUGCGGAACCACUAUACUUUCUUAAUAUGUGUUAAUACUAUAAAGUUAUAAAGUAAUAAUGGGUUCUGAUUAGAACUAUUGAUUUUGGCAAGUUCCCGUUUGACACGUUAGAGAUGAAACAUAAUCUGAACCGACCGACUUAUAAGUAAGCGAAAACUUUUAUCUCCACCCUUAAAUCAUUCAAACAACAACCUUAUGAGAACAACACUGAACUUUGAUGGCAAUUAAUCUAUUAAGAACAUGUAUACAUAGCAUCCUAAUCAUAGAAAUUUGUGUUGACACAUAUCAGUCUGAUCCAAAAAUGUUAGCUGAUACCAUUAUACAACGUUUAAAUAAAGUCUAGUGCGAAUCUGGUCAAAGUAGUGUUGCUGGUAUUUUUUCAAUUUCUACAUUAUCUUAUUUAUAUCCAGUGAGCUUAUGUACUCUACCAAAGAAAGUGUGAAGUACCUUGAAAGAGCUCCCCUAGUCCGUGCUGCGUGUUGGAUGGUUCCUUUUUGUGCCCGCUCCCUACUCAAGCUCUGCAUUAAACUAGUAUAUUGUCAUAUGGGAUAUAUAUUAGUUUGCACUUUGCAGUUUAUGUAGUAAUGGUUACCUCCAUAUGACAUGCAUAUUAAAGCUUACCUCCAUUAGCCUAUUAAUACAGAAAGGAGACAUUGCGCUUUAAACCAUAGCUUACCUCCAUAGACAAAAAAAGAAGAUAUCCAAUCAUGUCAUCGUAUAGGGUGUAUAAUGAUAAGUAGUUUAGAGCGCUUUAAACUAAAGCUUACCUCCAUUAGCCUGUUAAUACAAAAAAUUAAACUAAAGUGCUCUGCCAUUGUAUUUUAUGGAAUUAGUUAAGAUAGUAACAUUAUUAGAGCAUUCAUGAUGAGAGCCUAACGGAAAAUAGCAGUAGGUUAUUAAGAUCACAAAUAGAGUAUGCAUCUUUUGAUGUAUUUCAAGGUAUUUAAUAAAUAUAGAAUGCAUUAUCAACCACACAAAACUUUGGUAGGUUUAUACGAUGACUAAUCUAUUAAGGAUUAUAGAUUGUUUUCUUACCCAGUCACACUAACUAGAAAUAUUAAACGUAUUGAAACCCAGAAGGAGAGAGUUAUUCUAGAGAACAGCCGAUCUCCAAAUUGAAGCAUUGACAACCAAAGCAAAUUCUAGUAAUGGCUACUACAGUUACCUGUACACUCAUGUUCUGGGAUUUUGAUUCUAUUGGGGGCAGGAGAUUGACUCGACAACCAUAGUAAUCAACAACAUAUAUCACAUUUCAAACUAACCAAAACUAAAACUUUCACAACUAUCUGUCAAUUCUUUAACCAGAAAAACGAAAAUGGCGGAUAGAUGAACUGCAAAAUUAUGAUGCUUUACUCGUCGGUAGAUUUAACACACAAAAACCAAAUAUUGCAAUUUAGCCUCUUCGUCUACCUUAUCUAUGUUGUAUAAUUGGUCUAUAACAAGUAAUUCUCUGAAUCAUGUUGAAACCUGGAUUAUUCUCUAUAUCAUGUGAGAACUAUCAGAUUAACCUAUUUACGGGUUACACGCAAUGAUUUAUCGGAUUACACAGAGAAUUGCUCUUGAAGGAAUUCGGAUUUGACGAUUCUCUGUUAUUGAACUGUAGAGUUCUGUAUAAUGUAACGCCAAGCAUUUUAACUAAAAUGCCUUAUUCCAAAGUCUUCCUCUUGAAUAAACUUCGGGACGAAAUUUUCUAAAGGAGGGGAGACUGUAACGCCUCGCUUUUGUAACUUUCCUUAUUUAGAAAGUGAGAUCAUUUUUCUAUUUUUGGAAACUGUAAUCGUACCAUCUUCGUAUAUUAUUUUCAAUCUUGUAUCCGAGACUUUGAUCAUAAUGGAAUAUUAUUUU